UCUUAUCUUCCGGUUUAAUUCCCUGUAC
rnacentral:sRNA from 1 species